rnacentral:rRNA from 1 species
AGUGAACGCUGGCGGUAGGCCUAACACAUGCAAGUCGAACGGCAGCACAGGAGAGCUUGCUCUCUGGGUGGUGAGUGGCGGACGGGUGAGGAAUACAUCGGAAUCUACUUUUCGUGGGGGAUAACGUAGGGAAACUUACGCUAAUACCGCAUACGUACUGAGGUAGAAAGUGGGGGACCUUCGGGCCUCACGCUAUUCGAGCGGCCGACGUCUGAUUAGCUAGUAGGUGAGGUAAAGGCUCACCUAGGCGACGCUCAGUAGCGGGUCUGAGAGGAUGAUCCGCCACACUGGGACUGAGACACGGCCCAGACUCCUACGGGAGGCAGCAGUGGGGAAUUUUGGACAAUGGGCGAAAGCCUGAUCCAGCCAUGCCGCGUGUCUGAAGAAGGCCUUCGGGUUGUAAAGGACUUUUGUCAGGUAGGAAAUCCCUAGUGCUAAUAACGCUGGGGGAUGACGGUACCUGAAGAAUAAGCACCGGCUAACUACGUGCCAGCAGCCGCCGUAA